GGCUGUUUUGGAACUCGCUCUGUAGACCAGGCUGGCCUCAAACUCAAGAGAUGCCUGCCUCUGCCUCCAGAGUGCUGGGUUAAAGGUAUGCACCAUUGCUUGGCAAUUCCAGCUUUUUAAAGGUCUAUUUUGUGGUUGUUUGUGUGCAUGUGGAGGCCAGAAGAAGGCAAUGGGUCCCCUGGAACUGGAGUCACGGAGUUGUGAGUUGUCAGCUGCCAGCUCCUAGACAAGUCCAGUGGGAACUCAGACUAAAGUGGAGCUCGCCAAGGACAAGCCAGCCAGCCUCUGCGAGGUCCUACUAUGUGCAUUCAUCUAUGCCUAAAUUGGCUCCAAGUUCACUUUUUUUUUUUUUAAAGCAAUCAGUGUCUCAUAAAAGCAAGUGAUGAAUACUUGGUAACGAUGAUCUUUAACCAUUUUGUUUAUUUAAAUGGCAACAAUAUGUUUACUGUUAGCUUAAACUAACAAAAAUAGCAUUCUGUUGUCUAGAGAUAACAAAAUAACUUUAGAAGUCCAGAAACUUGAAAAUUUAAAGAAGCAUCUCCUGAGAAGACAUGCUAGUGUACUAAGCAGUAUUAGUGUAGCAGUGUGUCCUGCUAAUGGCCGAGAGCCAGUCCACUGAGGUCACUGAGGAGCUCAUGCGGUGCUGCCAGCAGAGCUGCCCAAGUCAGUGGCAAAAGAAUGGCCCCGGAUCUGUCAAGACAUUUAAUUUCUACAUAAAUACCCUCUUGUUCAAAUCCUCUUCAUGGCUGUGUCUAUGAAUAUGCUGAAAUGCUUGAUACUUUUAACAAGACUGAAUUAAUAUAAAAAAGUAAUAGAAUUUCA